CCAUACUUUUUCAGUUGGUAUGAGUUCAUAGAGUACCGUAAAUCUAGAGUAGCUAAUUGGAGGGGGAAGAAAGGGUAUCUAAUUAUAACAAGCAUCAAUCUUCUCUUCAUCAAGAAUCAUACAAUAAGGAUGCUUGGUGGUUUAUUAUCUGGAGGCAGAAAGUAAGGAUAAUGAAAACCUAGUGAAAAAGGCUUUCUUAUGAUUAUUCUUAGAAGGGGAAUUUUUCUCCCAUUUCUCCUAUAGAGUAUGACCUGGGAUCUUUGAGAGUCCUCAGGGACAGAUAGACUACCCAACUCAGAAAGUGAUGUGGUUUUGCUCCGCCCCCAGACUCUAUCUCCUAAUUGUUUAACAGGGUGAAAAAUCAGUCAGGAGAGAUGUACCAUCCUUUCCUCAAUUAUGCCAUGGGCACCAGCCUUCUCUAUUGUAUGGCUGUAUUUCUCCUGGAAGUAGACUGCAUGCAUGCUAAACUCACUCAGAUCCCAAGGCAUCUAAUCAUAGGGAAGGGACAGGCAGUGACGAUGACAUGUGACCAAGACACUCAGGAUACUGGAAUGUUUUGGUAUCAACAAACCCCAGAGAAGGUGGAUCUAGUGCUGGUUCUUUACUCCGUGGGAAAGGGGGAUAUAAGUGAUGGGGAUGAUCCUCAAGGAUUUCAAGCCAAGAGACCAGAUAUCAAGGUUUUUACUCUCAGCAAACCAUCUGCAGAACCCAGUGACUCUGGGAUGUAUUUCUGCAGUUCCAGCCACAGUGAUGAAAGGACAUUUCAUUUCUAUACACAAACUUCCUUUCUUCCACCUCAGCACAGGAAGUAGGAGUUGGUGGGGAGGGAAGGGAG